rnacentral:lncRNA from 10 species
GUGAGAUAUUUUGAUACAGGCAUGCAAUGCAUAAUAAUCACAUCAAGGUAAAUGAGGUCUCCAUCCCCGCAAUCAUUUAUCCUUUCUGUUACAAAUGAUCCAGUCUACUCUUGUAGUUAUUUUAUUUUUUAGUUUAUUAUUGAGUUGGAGUCUCACUCUGUUGCCCAGGCUGGAGUGCAGUGGCUUGAUUUUGGCUCACUGCAACCGCCGUCUCCUGGAUUCAAGUGAUUCUCCUGCCUUAGCCUCCUGAGUAUCUGAGAUUACAGAUGUGUGCCAGCACGCCUGGCUACUUUUUUUGUAUUUUUAGUAGAGACAGGGUUUCACCAUGUUGCCCACGCUGGUCUUGAACUCCUGACCUCAGAUGAUCCUCCUGCCUUGGCCUCCCAAAGUGCUGGAAUUACAGGUGUGAGCCACUGUGUCCAGCAUCUUUUAGUUAUUUUAAAAUGUACAAUUAAAUUAUUAUUGACUAUAGUCACCCUGUUGUGCUAUCAAAUAGAUAUUAUUCUUUCUGUUUUUUUGUACCCAUUAACCAUCCCCAUUUCCCCCACCCACUGUCCUUCCUAGCCUCUAGUAACCUUCCAUCUACUCUAUAUGUUCAUGAGUUACAUUGUUUUAAUUUUUAGCUUUCACAAAUAAGUGAGAAUAUGUAAAGUUUGUCUUUCUGUGCCUGGCUUAUUUCACUUAACAUCCAUGUUGUUGAAAAUGACAGUACCUCAUUCUUUUUUAUGGCUGCAUAGUACUUCAUUGUGUAUAUAUACCACAUUUUCUUUAUCAAUUCAUCUGUUGAUGGACACUUAGGUUGCUUCCAAAUCUUGUUUAUUGUGAACAGUGCUGUAAUAAUCAUGGGAGUGCAGAGAUCUCUUCCAUGUACUGAUUUUCUUUCUUCCUAAGUUUUUUGCUUGUGUUCGGGCGUGUGAUUUGUGCAGAACUGACUCUACUCCGAGGCUGGGUGGGUGAAUGAGGCCUGGCCAACGAAUACGUUCUGGUCUUUUGGCUACCAUGGCAGGGUUAGGAAUGCACAUAGCACCCCAUGCUGGGUACUUGAGAGCUGGAACCAUCGGGAGAUUCUGCUGGCUUUGCUACAUGCUAGAAUGUAAGUGUGAAGGUAUUGGUGGCUCUUCUUGCCACUCCAUUGGAGAAUCAAGCUAACAUGGGGAGGGUGAAUCCAUGACAUGAGGGGAGGUGUGCACGGAGGGGUAUGUGUGCACACAGGUGUGUCUGUGCCCAGGUUGUGUGUGUGUGCGUGCAUGCAUGUACUUGUGCGAUGUAUGAAUCAGUGCCUAUAAGUGUGUGCAUCGUGUGCAAGUGGCACGUGUGAUGUGGGCGUGUAAGACAGGAAAUUGUGUGGAUAAGCAAUGUAUGGGAUGAUGGGUACUGACAGGUGCGGGAGUGGAUUUUGUGUCUCUAGAGUGUAAGUGACUGGCUUGUGUGUGUCACUGUAUAGAGAAUAAGUUGUAUGUGGAAACAGGAGGAGAAAGGAAGGGACCCAAGGCAUGAGCCACCAUUUUGGUUUCCCAGGGUGGCCCACGCCCCGACUUACCACUCCGGAGGCCUGCUGGGCAGCGUUGGUAGCUGGCAAGACAAAGCAGAGAAGCCAGUAACCAAACAGCACUCCAGAUGACUGGACUCCCUUUUUCCUCUCGGUGUGAAUCAGGAACACUGCGAAGCUCUGGACGGGAAAGUCAGGGAGGCCCCUUAGGGGAGGGUGGGAGGCUGAGGGGAGCCUCUUCUCUUCCCCUUGUUCUCCACUGUGGCAGGCAAAGCAGCAGCUGGGAGGAAGCCGGGCUCCAGACUGAAGGCAUCAUUACCAUCGUGGUGAGCCACACAGUAGGAUGAAUGAGGAAUUCUGGGGCCUCAGGCGUUCCCUGUUGGAUUUUCCAAAGAGCGACAGCCACGCUGGAGGUACACAGGACUAUGAGGGUGAAUCCAAGCACCUGAGGAUACAGGCUUAGAUAAGCUUGGGGGGCAAUAAGAGAGGUCACAGCAAACUGGUAAGCAGCCCCAUGUCCAACUGGGAGCUGGUUCUGCAACAUCCUGGCUGAUACUGAGUAUACCAGGGUCACCAGCUAGCAACGUGCCAAUGUGAACAAUGUGUAAAGGGCAUUGCAGAUCACUCCUGACCUGUAACUGUCAUAUAAAUAAUGCACAGGAAGGGCUUGAGCCAACCGAGUGUUUUCCAAAAUGCAGGAAGUGCUCCAAUCGUGCACAUAUGAGAUGACUCUGGGUAUGGAGAAACAGCAGGAAAUGAAAUGUACUCACCAGGUAAAAAACUAUCCUUUCUCCAAGUCAUUUUUCAAUCCCUGCUAUGAAAUCAAGGAGCAACUCUCUGUUGGGCCAGUAAGUCUCUAGGGUCUCUCUAAUAUAUUUUGGUUUCUCUAUUGAAUAAAAGAAAGGAAGAAAAUGAGAGAACGUGGGCACACCAGAGGGAAGGCCAGAGCUAGGUUACGUUGGAGUAACUGCUCAAAGAACCUCAGUUUAAAGCAGAAGUUGGCAAACUAUCAAUCAUCAAAGAAAAACAAAAAGCAUAUGUCAUGACAGGUGAAAAUUACAUGAAAUCCAAAUUUCAGUGACUACAAAUAAAGUUUUAUUGAAACGCAGUCGGCCGGGGGUGGUGGCUCACACCUGUAAUCCCAGCACUUUGGCAGGCCGAGGCAGGCAGAUCACCUGAGGUCAGGAGUUGGAGACCAGCCUGGCCAACAUGGCGAAACCCUGUUUCUACUAAAGAUACAAAAAAAUAGCGAGGUGUGGGGGUGGGCACCUGUAAUCCCAGCUACUCGGGAAGCUGAGGCAGGAGAAUCACUUGAACCCAGGAGGCGGAGGUUGCAGUGAGCCGAGAUCGCACCAUUGCACUCCAGCCUGGGUAACAAGAGCAAAACUGCAUCUCAAAAACAAAACAAAACAAAAAAGUAACACAGUCAUGACUAUUGUCUAUGGUUAUGACUAUUGCGUUCAUUCUGGAAUGGCAGAGUUCAGUGUUCGGAAGGAAGAUUACCUGGCUCACAAAGUCUCAAAUACUGUGUGCCACUUGGCUCUUUAAGUUUGCCAACCCCUGGGUUGGUGGUGGGUGAUAAUGUAAAAAUUAAUACAAUGGCAGAAGAAUGAAUGAACUCUGAAGAACAUUCUUUGGAAGUCUACAAGAAUGGAGUAGAAGAGGAUGGAUGAGCAGAAAGGCUCACACUUGGAAUGCCAGUGUUUAUUUAACACAC